rnacentral:rRNA from 1 species
UACGUAGGUGGCAAGCGUUGUCCGGAUUUACUGGGCGUAAAAGAGCGCGCAGGCGGUCGUAUAAGUCGAAUGUGAAAGCCCCCGGCUCAACUGGGGAGGGUCAUUCGAUACUGUUCGACUCGAAGGCAGGAGAGGGAAGUGGGAAAUUCCGGGUGUAGUGGUGAAAUGCGUAGAUAUCCGGAGGAACACCAGUGGCGAAGGCGACUUUCUGGCCUGUUCUUGACGCUGAGGCGCGAAAGCUAGGGGAGCAAACGGGAGUU